GCAGGCAGCUGUGGAGUUACGAGUUGCUAUGCAACCUGCUCCCACUGUCUGUCACAUUUUCAUUCAUAUCCGUGAAUAGCUUGGAAAGCCAGAUGCAGUCGAAUAUUAGGUUUAUGUUUCCUUGACAUUUCUGUCUCUGUUCUGACUCAGACCAUUUUCUUGUAUAGAAUUCGAGAGGCUUAUUGUAGAUCAUUGAAAGAUAUAUUCUGUAUUUCUUCCUAAUGUCCGCAAUUCUCAUCUACAGAAGUUCCCGAAGAAAGCAACAUGAUGAAGCAAAACUCCACCCUCACCACUACGUUGGAGUCUUCCCAUUCAGUCAUCAUCCAAUUUGCUCCAAACACAAGCAGACACUUCUUACAGAUGGCUGUCCUCUAGAAUGAAAAUGCACACCAACCACCGGCAAACAUCAAAAGCUAAUCCAACCUUUGGUCUUCGGAAACCCCGUGACUAAUGCAAUGUUGGUGCCCUAGAAGACAAGUCAGCGCAGUUCAGACGAGCCAGCCAGAGGAGGUCACCGCCAGCCUUGUAUCGAGGUCCCAACGUCCUUCAUCGGGGAACUCGGCAUGGAUAUGCAAGACAACACUCGAAUCACUGUUGGACAAAUGCCUGAAACGGCUGGAAAAAUAGAAAAGAUGGUUACAGAGACUGUUAUUGCUGUUCUUCUUUCAAUACAAUAUUUGCCUUCCAUAAAAUAUUCCCAUGUUCCAA